AGCGUACCAGCCGAAUGAGCCAUAUUAUGUGAGAAAGGAUGAGCUUGUGGUUGAAGCACUAAACUGGGACUCAGGAGAUUGGCACUGUCGGGCUAUCUGGGUGACUUUGAGUCACGAAAUCAGUUCAUUAGCCAGCAAGAAAAUGCAGCCACCUCUGUGAUGGGACACAUCGCCUGUUGAACAGAAAACAGAAGUGCUACAUCACAGCUGGGGAGGAAAAAUGAAGGCUGCUGGACCCAGCUGAAAUUGCAGAAGGAAUUUAAGGGGACUUAGUCGUGGACUAGCACCCUAUUGCGCUAGGGGCUGUACUAAAACAGAAGAAGAAGAGGGCCCACGCACCAAAGAGUUUACAAUCUAAGAGUAAGAUAAGCCACAACAGGUGGCUACAGACAAACCGCCAGCGGAGGACAAGGAAACAAUGAGACAGUACUGGUCAGCAUGACAGGCUGUGGUCUCAGCAC